CCUACGGGUGGCAGCAGUGAGGAAUAUUGGUCAAUGGACGAGAGUCUGAACCAGCCAAGUAGCGUGAAGGAUGACUGCCCUAUGGGUUGUAAACUUCUUUUAUAUGGGAAUAAAAUGUUCCACGUGUGGGAUUUUGUAUGUACCAUAUGAAUAAGGAUCGGCUAACUCCGUGCCAGCAGCCGCGGUAAUACGGAGGAUCCGAGCGUUAUCCGGAUUUAUUGGGUUUAAAGGGAGCGUAGGUGGAUUGUUAAGUCAGUUGUGAAAGUUUGCGGCUCAACCGUAAAAUUGCAGUUGAAACUGGCAGUCUUGAGUACAGAAGAGGUGGGCGGAAUUCGUGGUGUAGCGGUGAAAUGCUUAGAUAUCACGAAGAACUCCGAUUGCGAAGGCAGUUCACUGGACUGCAACUGACACUGAGGCUCGAAAGUGUGGGUAUCAAACAGGAUUAGAUACCCGUGUAGUC
rnacentral:rRNA from 1 species